GAUGAACGCUGGCGGCGUGCCUAAUACAUGCAAGUCGAGCGAAUGGAUUAAGAGCUUGCUCUUAUGAAGUUAGCGGCGGACGGGUGAGUAACACGUGGGUGACCUGCCCAUAAGACUGGGAUAACUCCGGGAAACCGGGGCUAAUACCGGAUAAUAUUUUGAACUGCAUGGUUCAAAAUUGAAAGGCGGCUUCGGCUGUCACUUAUGGAUGGACCCGCGUCGCAUUAGCUAGUUGGUGAGGUAACGGCUCACCAAGGCAACGAUGCGUAGCCGACCUGAGAGGGUGAUCGGCCACACUGGGACUGAGACACGGCCCAGACUCCUACGGGAGGCAGCAGUAGGGAAUCUUCCGCAAUGGACGAAAGUCUGACGGAGCAACGCCGCGUGAGUGAUGAAGGCUUUCGGGUCGUAAAACUCUGUUGUUAGGGAAGAACAAGUGCUAGCUGAAUAAGCUGGCACCUUGACGGUACCUAACCAGAAAGCCACGGCUAACUACGUGCCAGCCGCCGCCGUAA
rnacentral:rRNA from 1 species